GCUUUUGAUGCAGCUGCCAGGCGUCGAGCAAACUUAAAGCAGCGAAGGCGUUUUGAGAAAUCUUUGCUCUGUUGAAGCUAGGAAGUGAAAGUACAUGAAGCUAAUGUCAGCAACGCCGAUAUCCGGAAGUGUCCAAUGGCGCGGCGCUCAUCGCUGCAGACACUUUGUGUCCUUGUGGUUGAAAUGUUUGCAUGUCCAGUACAUGUACUAUGGAGCAGUCCCAGCAGCAGCUGGCAGAUGCCACAACUCCUGGAGCGGCACACUAUUGUCCACUUUUUGGCUCUCGGCUUCUCUCUGUGACACAGAGACUGGGAGAAACGGAGAAGGAGGCUGAGUUGGUGUGCAACAAAAUCCACCUCCAGCGUAUUUGAAUCUUAAAUUAAAUGACCCAUUUGUUUGUUUCAGCUGCACAAAAACCAAAGCAUAAAAAGCAAUAAUUUGCCAGCGUCAGCAGGGUUGUGGCCCAGACUGUUUCUUAGUUCUAAGUUUUGUAUUUCAACCCAAACCAGAAUCAGCUUUGUUGCCUAACUGUAAACAAACUGAAAAGAAAAGCAAUUAUGAUGCUACAAGCUCUCCCACCAGCACCGCAGAAAGUAACAAGUCUGGGUGAAGAAAUGCUCCACCGCACCAUUAAACAGGUGGAUGCCAUUUAUAGAUCAAUUCAGUCACUGCAAAACAGUCGCACUAGAGAAAACAGUGGGUGGAGACCGAGGGUGACCAAUAUUAUUGCAGCCGUGUGCGAAGAACCUGCGGUCUCAUUGACUUCAAAAAGGUUGCAUCAAUGUGACUUUGGUUCGUAAAGAUUGUGAUAAAGCCGCAAUAAGACGGAAACCAUCUGCGAUUGAACACGGCCAAGUUACAUCCAAUCUGUGUUGAUGCAGCGAUUCACCGAUGAAGCAGCGAAUAUCACAAUCUGUAAGUCCAGUCCGAACCUCACAGAUUGAAAACAUGAAGACAGAACAACGAUUUUCAAAAUGACAAAGGCGCUGAGUAACCUGCAAGUAGGAAUACACCCAAUGGCAACCAGUUGAGUCCCUGUGAGGUAAAUUUAAGCAUCAGCUGUUCAUCCGAGUGCCUGCUUGAGUUUUGUGACCGAUCAGAGUCAACACGACAAAGCACCAUCUACACACCCUGCCAAAGUGACAGACUUCAAGCAGAUGUCAGAUUGACUGCUCAAUCCUCGGGUGUGCAGUUUGCCUUGUCUGCUGUGGAGUAUAAUCAAGACUUUACAUGGCAGUUAUGUGCAAACCUUCCAAUCUGCCCACGAAUGAUUGGAGUCAGACUAAUUGUUUCACCUUGCGAUCAAAAGUGAUAUUGGUUACCUCACCUUCUUGCAAUCAUCCGAUGAAUUUGGAAAAAGUUUUCCAAAUUCGUUAAAGGUUUUUUCAAACUUAUUUACAUGGAGGUUGCCGUGUCCUGUGUUUGCUCUAGUGUGACUGAGCCGUCAGAGCGCUGCUGUGGCAGAGUGUACCGAGCUCCUUCUGUUUUUCCCAGUCUGGAGGUUAAGCUAAGCUGACAGGCUAACUUCUCCACAAGCUUCAGAGGUUUUCUC
ensembl:lncRNA